rnacentral:rRNA from 1 species
UACGGAGGGUGCAAGCGUUAUCCGGAUUCACUGGGUUUAAAGGGUGCGUAGGUGGGCAGGUAAGUCAGUGGUGAAAUCUCCGGGCUUAACCCGGAAACUGCCAUUGAUACUAUCUGUCUUGAAUACCGUGGAGGUGAGCGGAAUAUGUCAUGUAGCGGUGAAAUGCUUAGAUAUGACUAGAACACCAAUUGCGAAGGCAGCU